AAUAAACGCUGGCGGCGUGCCUAACACAUGCAAGUCGAGCGAGAAAGCUCCUUCGGGAGUUAGUAAAGCGGCGAACGGGUGAGCAACACGUGAGAAUCUACCCUUUAGUGAAGAAUACCCUCGAGAAAUCGAGGCUAAUACUGCAUACGUCCCUUCGGGGAGAAAGAUGGCCUCUUUGCUAUCGCUAAAGGAUGAGCUUGCGUACUAUUAGCUAGUUGGCGGGGUAAAGGCCCACCAAGGCAAUGAUGGUUAACCGGCCUGAGAGGGUGUACGGUCACACUGGAACUUAGACACGGUCCAGACUCCUACGGGAGGCAGCAGUGAGGAAUCUUGCGCAAUGGGCGAAAGCCUGACGCAGCGACGCCGCGUGGAGGAUGACGGUUUUCGGAUUGUAAACUCCUGUUAAGCGGGAAGAAAGCCUUGUUUCUAAUACAAGCAAGGUAUGACGGUACCGCUAGAGAAAGCA
rnacentral:rRNA from 1 species